GUUUCGGGGCGGGGUUUGAAUCCCCACCGGCGGUGAAAGCCCGCGAGCGGAAAAUCGGCGCGACAAAGCGUUGACGGAACGCAGAUCCGGUGAGAUUCCGGAGCCGACGGUACAGUCCGGAGGAGAGAAA
rnacentral:ncRNA from 1 species